GGGCAGACAAGGAGGGGCUGUGGUGAACCCCGCUCUCCAGAGGGCCAGCAGGAGUCUGCCUGGGCUCUGCAUUCAGGCCACAGACGGUGAAUGACAGAAAACAGAGCCCAGAGCUGCCCUUGGAUGUCAGUGCCACCCGAGGGUGUGACAGCAGCUGCACAGGAUGGAUGCAAAGCCAAACACAUCGAUCAGAGCGUGCAGCUGUGCUGGGAGCAGGGAGAGGGCUGUGCUGCAGGCAGGCACCGGGAAACGAGCGGGGAAUGCAGGAGCUGGGACUGAAUUUUAUUGUUUUAUUCCCGGCCACGCACCUGCUGUGCGUGUCCCUGCAGCAGUGGGCAGCCCGUGCCGUGCCGCCCGGUGAGUGGGUCUGAACCUGCUGCCCUCUGCAGCUGUGAAAGGUCCUGUGCACUGCAGGGCUGGGCACCAUCCCUGCUGCACAUCUGCCAGCCUGUGAUACCGUCCCUGCUGCACCUCUGCAGGGCUGGGCAGUGCCCCGCUGCAUCUCUACCAGCCUGUGAUAAGGUCCCUGCUGCACCUCUGCAAGGCUGGGCACCAUCCCUGCUGCACCUCUGCAACGUGCUGCACCUCUGCCAUUGGUCUGCAACCUGCUGCACCUCUGCAGGGCUGGGCACUGUCCCUGCUGCGUCUCUGCCAGCCUGUGGCACUGUCCCUGCCGCCGGGACAACGCAGCGACCCCAGCCCGGCGUUGUCUGGUUCUUACAGCCCGGGGUCCCAGAGCCCCGCCAUCCUCGCAGCCCCUGCGUGUUGCAACACCUGCGGGCAAGAGCCCCCAGGAAAACAAAGAAGCUGCUGGGUGCUGACCAGAGGUUUUCAUCUGAGUUACCAUCUCUCCAGAGCUCCUGCUGCUGGCCCAGACUUCUGAAACCCAGGGAGCUCCAUCCCACUGGGAAACUAUUGGCAAGUUCUACAGGACCGACACUACUUUGGAUGACACUCGUGGAGAACUGGAAAAAG